GACGAACGCUGGCGGCGUGCUUAACACAUGCAAGUCGAACGGAGUGGCGAACGGGUGAGUAACACGUGGGUGAACUGCCCUGCACUUCGGGAUAAGCAUGGGAAACUGGGUCUAAUACCGGAUAGUGUGGGAUGGGCCCGCGGCAUAUCAGCGUGUUGGUGGGGUAAUGGCCUACCAAGGCGGCGACGGGUAGCCGGCCUGAGAGGGUGGACGGCCACAUUGGGAUUGAGGCACGACCCAGACUCCUACGGGAGGCAGCAGUGGAGGAUAGUGCACAAUGGGCGGAGUCAUGAUGGAGCGACGCCGCGUGGGGGAUGACGGCCUUCGGGUUGUAAACUCCUUUCACCAUCGACGCGGUAGAUGGAGAAGAAGCAACGGCUAACUACGUGCCAGCCGCCGCGGUAAUAC
rnacentral:rRNA from 1 species